GGCUGAAUACGGGCAGGCUAUGGACAAAGUUCUCUGCUGCAAAUGGGGAUGGGAGCAAACUUCCCUAACCUAUGGGGAUUUAUGGGAAUUAGAGUUUUGAUGGGACUUGGGAGAAGGAAACUUUUGGAGAGGCAUAGACUGAAUAUAGAACGGGGCAAUCAUGCAUCAAUCACCACACCAACUAUUUUGGGAUCAAGGCU
rnacentral:lncRNA from 1 species